rnacentral:rRNA from 1 species
UGGGGAAUAUUGGACAAUGGGCGCAAGCCUGAUCCAGCCAUGCCGCGUGAGUGAUGAAGGCCUUAGGGUUGUAAAGCUCUUUCGGCGGGGACGAUAAUGACGGUACCCGCAGAAGAAGCCCCGGCUAACUUCGUGCCAGCAGCCGCGGUAAUACGAAGGGGGCUAGCGUUGCUCGGAAUCACUGGGCGUAAAGGGCGCGUAGGCGGACAUUUAAGUCGGGGGUGAAAGCCCAGGGCUCAACCCUGGAAUUGCCUCCGAUACUGGGUGUCUCGAGACCGGAAGAGGUGAGUGGAACUGCGAGUGUAGAGGUGAAAUUCGUAGAUAUUCGCAAGAACACCAGUGGCGAAGGCGGCUCACUGGUCCGGUUCUGACGCUGAGGCGCGAAAGCGUGGGGAGCAAACAGGAUUAGAUACCCUGGUAGUCCACGCCGUAAACGAUGGAUGCUAGCCGUUGGCAGGCUUGCCUGUCAGUGGCGCAGCUAACGCUUUAAGCAUCCCGCCUGGGGAGUACGGCCGCAAGGUUAAAAACUCAAAGGAAUUGAC